rnacentral:rRNA from 2 species
GGUUACCUCCGGCGUGCUAUAAUGCAGUCGAGCGAAUGGAUUGAGAGCUUGCUCUUAUGAAGUUAGCGGCGGACGGGUGAGUAACACGUGGGUAACCUGCCCAUAAGACUGGGAUAACUCCGGGAAACCGGGGCUAAUACCGGAUAAUAUUUUGAACUGCAUGGUUCGAAAUUGAAAGGCGGGCUUCGGCUGUCACUUAUGGGAUGGACCCGCGUCGCAUUAGCUAGUUGGUGAGGUAACGAGCUCACCAAGGCAACGAUGCGUAGGCCGACCGGAGAGGGGUGAUCGGCCACACUGGGACUGAGACACGGCCCAGGACUCUUACGGGGAGGCAGCAGUAGGGAAUCUUCCGCAAUGGACGAAAGUCUGACGGGAGCAACGCCGCGUGAGUGAUGAAGGCUUUCGGGGUCGUAAAACUCUGUUGUUAGGGGAAGAACAAGUGCUAGUUGAAUAAGCUGGGCACCCUUGACGGUACCUAACCCAGAAAGCCACGGCUAACUACGUGCCAGCAGCCCGCGGUAAUACGUAGGUGGCAAGCGUUAUCCCGGAAUUAUUGGGCGUAAAGCGCGCGCAGGUGGUUUCUUAAGUCUGAUGUGAAAGCCCCACGGCUCAACCGUGGAGGGUCAUUGGAAACUGGGAGACUUGAGUGCAGAAGAGGAAAGUGGAAUUCCAUGUGUAGCGGUGAAAUGCGUAGAGAUAUGGAGGAACACCAGUGGCGAAGGCGACUUUCUGGUCUGUAACUGACACUGAGGCGCGAAAGCGUGGGGAGCAAACAGGAUUAGAUACUCCUGGUAGUCCACGCCGUAAACGAUGAGUGCUAAGUGUUAGAGGGUUUCCGCCCUUUUAGUGCUGAAGUUAACGCAUUAAGCACUCCGCCUGGGGAGUACGGCCGCAAGGCUGAAACUCAAAGGAAUUGACGGGGGCCCGCACAAGCGGUGGAGCAUGUGGUUUAAUUGGAAGCAACGCGAAGAACCUUACCAGGUCUUGACAUCCUCUGAAAACUCUAGAGAUAGAGCUUCUCCUUCGGGGAGCAGAGGGACAGGUGGUUCCAGGUUUUUUAAAGUUUUUC